rnacentral:piRNA from 1 species
UUCUUCAGUUGAUUUUUGAGUAUGGGU